UUUACUACAGCACAGGAACGCGGAGAGACUGCGAGGAUGGACGCGCACCAUGCCUGGCUCAUCGAGGCAGCCUUCCUUGCUGCGACUGUCCAGUUUGCAGUCCAAGCCUGGGCCCAGCCUCGCCAGGUGAAUGGUGUCCUGGGAGGGUCCGUCCUGCUCUCCCCGGCUCUGCCCCCCGACGCGAGGGUGAGGGAAAUCGAGUGGAGCUUUUCGGCCGGCACCGGCACAACGAUCCAGGUGGCGGAGUUCAGCCCGGGCAGGUUUGAGCGCCCCGACCCCGGCGACCGCUUCAAGCAGAGGCUGGAGAUGUUCAACGAGACGGCGCUGCGGAUCGGGGCGCUGGAGCUGGGCGACAGCGGGGUCUACGGGGCUCGGAUUAAAUUGCACCCGGCGCUGGUGGAGGAUCAGUCCUUCAACCUCUCCGUCUUCGAGCCACUGCCGGACCCUGAGAUCCAGAGCUGGCUGCUUUCCAAAACCCCUGCAUGGUGCAACAUCUCGUUACACUGCCAUGUGCCCAGUGGGACCAGAGGCACUGUCACCUGGAUGAAUCCCCAUGGGGACCAAGGGGGCCUCAGGGUGCAUCCAGUCAGUGGCGGGAUGCUCAGUGUAGAGGUGCAGCCCAGCUCUGUGAACAUCUCCUUCACCUGCAGGGUCCGUAGCGCCAUGGAGGAGCGGAGGAGAUCCAUAGACCUGCAGAGUGUGUGCUGGAAUGGAGGUGAAUGGAUCAGGCUCAGCCACUGGACCAUGAUGGCUGCAGUGAUCUUCCUAGGACUCUCUACGUGGCAGCUCUCACCCUGACAGAGAUAGGCAGCUCUCCGUGAGAGGCAAGAGCAAGGCUGGAGUUUUAUGGAGGAACUUAACAGAGCAUAGUGCUGAGCCCUGCCGGCUGGACGUGGGGGAAGGGGGAGACCGCUUGCACAGCGCCGGCAUGUCCUGGAGCUGAGCCCAUCCUGGACCAGCCUCCUGGUGACUGCUCCUGCCUCUCGGUCCUGCCCACAGGGACAGGGCCAAUUUGCUUCUGGUUGCUCCAGACCUACAGCGGCCUCGGCAUCCCCACUGGACCCUACCAGGACAGCCACUGAGACACAAGCUCUUCCCCAGGCGUGCCGGGCUCCGCAAUGUACGGCUUCCUAUGGGCUGCAACACCACGAUGUGGCUUUGCUCCUCCCCAUCUCUACUGCCACUGACUCUGCCCACUGAUCUGCACAGAGAGCUGAGAAGAAAUGGAGGGGGAAUUGUCCAGGAGCAAACCCCGACUGCGGCUACUGCUUGCGAUGCUGCUCAGCUUCUGGCCAGAGCUCCUGUUUGGCCAAGCCCGGGCCCAGCCUCGCCAGGUGAAUGGUGUCCUGGGAGGGCCCGUCCUGCUCUCCCCGGCUCUGCCCCCCGACGCGAGGGUGAAGGAGAUCGAGUGGAGCUUUUCGGCCGGCACCGGCACAACGAUCCAGGUGGCGGAGUUCAGCCCGGGCAG